UGGCAACAGUGGUGUGUUGGGACUAUUUUAGUAUUUCAAUGAACUGAAGUGAUAAGACUUCUGUGUCCGAUUCUAUUGUAUUCUCUUUCUUUUUUUUGAUCUCACUGACCACAGUAAACCAAACGCUCAACCAGUCUCAGACUUUCCUUUAAGAGCCCAGAUCUGUCUCCAGGCCACAUGAAUACAUAAGUUUGAAAUGUAUUUAUCUCAUAUUCAUCUUAUACCAUUUAGCACAGACUCGUACAGCGCAUUUCUUCUUCUUUUAUUAAACUGUGCAAUAUUAUGAUAACAUAAAAACAUUCUGUCUUAACAUUCAGGCUGAAAAACUUAUGCUAAUGCAUUUAUUACCCGUAGAAUGAACGAAUAUAAUUCCUUCAGGAUUUCCCAAUGGGUCGAUCAAAAGCUUACAGUUGUUCAAAAAUGUAGAAUGUAGCAUGUAGAAGAAGACAGAAUAUUUCUCAGAAAUUAGCUUCUCUGCAUUGAAUUAUUAAAGAUUCCUCUCCUUACAUAUGAAGCAACUAAUGUCCAAGCCCCAUCGGAUAUUAAAGAGCUCAUAGAACCACCAUAAUCCCAACAGAUCUCUUCAAUCUCUAAAUGAAGGCUUACUUGAGGUGUCCAGAGUCUUUGAGAACGAGAGACUGGGAAGGCCGCCCUUCGGCUAUCCUCUCCUGUGGAACCAGCUCUGUCCGGGAGGCAGACACCCUCUCUACAUUUUAGGGUAUCUGUCUCCGGCGCCUCAGGAUCCAGAUCUGACACGACUACUCAACUAUUGUUAAUUGUCUAUCCGAUGGACUCUCCACUGUUGCCAAGUGCCUGCUCAUUGUGGGAAGCGUACGACAUAACUUGGUGAA